GCUGACACAUCCCUGCCAAUCUCCGGCAGACCCUCCCUCCCAGACCCUCCACCUCCUGGACAGCAUCCAUGUUGAAGCUGCCUUCAACAUGGAUGCUGUCCAGGAAGUAGGAGGGUCUGGGAGGGAGGGUCUGCUGGAGAUUGGCCGGGAUGUGUCAG